AAUCGUACCCCAAACCGACACAGGUGGUCAGGUAGAGAAUACCAAGGCGCUUGAGAGAACUCGGGUGAAGGAACUAGGCAAAAUGGUGCCGUAACUUCGGGAGAAGGCACGCUGGUGUGUAGGUGAAGCCCCUGCGGGUGGAGCUGAGACCAGUCGAAGAUACCAGCUGGCUGCAACUGUUUAUUAAAAACACAGCACUGUGCAAACACGAAAGUGGACGUAUACGGUGUGACGCCUGCCCGGUGCCGGAAGGUUAAUUGAUGGGGUUAUCCGUAAGGAGAAGCUCUUGAUCGAAGCCCCGGUAAACGGCGGCCGUAACUAUAACGGUCCUAAGGUAGCGAAAUUCCUUGUCGGGUAAGUUCCGACCUGCACGAAUGGCGUAAUGAUGGCCAGGCUGUCUCCACCCGAGACUCAGUGAAAUUGAACUCGCUGUGAAGAUGCAGUGUACCCGCGGCAAGACGGAAAGACCCCGUGAACCUUUACUAUAGCUUGACACUGAACAUUGAGCCUUGAUGUGUAGGAUAGGUGGGAGGCUUUGAAGCGUGGACGCCAGUCUGCGUGGAGCCAACCUUGAAAUACCACCCUUUAAUGUUUGAUGUUCUAACGUUGGCCCCUGACCGGGGUUGCGGACAGUGUCUGGUGGGUAGUUUGACUGGGGCGGUCUCCUCCCAAAGCGUAACGGAGGAGCACGAAGGUUAGCUAAUCCUGGUCGGACAUCAGGAGGUUAGUGCAAUGGCAUAAGCUAGCUUGACUGCGAGCGUGACGGCGCGAGCAGGUGCGAAAGCAGGUCAUAGUGAUCCGGUGGUUCUGAAUGGAAGGGCCAUCGCUCAACGGAUAAAAGGUACUCCGGGGAUAACAGGCUGAUACCGCCCAAGAGUUCAUAUCGACGGCGGUGUUUGGCACCUCGAUGUCGGCUCAUCACAUCCUGGGGCUGAAGUAGGUCCCAAGGGUAUGGCUGUUCGCCAUUUAAAGUGGUACGCGAGCUGGGUUUAGAACGUCGUGAGACAGUUCGGUCCCUAUCUGCCGUGGGCGCUGGAGAAUUGAGGGGGGCUGCUCCUAGUACGAGAGGACCGGAGUGGACGCAUCACUGGUGUUCGGGUUGUCAUGCCAAUGGCACUGCCCGGUAGCUAAAUGCGGAAGAGAUAAGUGCUGAAAGCAUCUAAGCACGAAACUUGCCCCGAGAUGAGUUCUCCCUGAGACUUUAAGUCUCCUGAAGGAACGUUGAAGACGACGACGUUGAUAGGCCGGGUGUGUAAGCGCAGCGAUGCGUUGAGCUAACCGGUACUAAUGAACCGUGAGGCUUAACCUU
rnacentral:rRNA from 1 species